GCAGGGUGACAAUGGAGAGAGAGAGAGAGACUUAGGGACAGAAUCCAGACGGGGAGGAGGUUUCUGGGAGAAAGGAUGUGGGUGGGGUUGGGAGCACAGAAGGGGUUUCUGGCAACAUGACCCUAGGAUAUGGAAUGGGUACUCAGGGCUAUGGAAGGUCAGCUUAGGGCAGAGUCCUCGGUGCCUGGGAGGUGCCAGGUGCCUUGCUGCAAGGGAGCCAAGAAAGACGCCCAGUCCCUUGCCUUCCUAUCUCCCCAGUAUAUUCUCCAUACCCAUGUGGUGCAUUUAUAGCCCUGUUUUAUGGAUGAGAAAAUUGAGGCCCAGCGUGGUCGAGUCACUGGCCAAAGCCAAACACCCAGGUGGUGGCAGAGGCAAGUCCAGAGUUGAAGUCUGGGAUGCUUCCCCGGAUGGUGGAUGCCUCCAUAGCAGAGGCCGGCAGAAGCGUGACACGUGGGACGCAGCCUUGGCUAAGCGUCCGAGAUUCCGUGGUUCCCCGGGUCUGGGGACAAGAGGCGACUGCUCAGCGAGCAUCGAUUCAGUCUCCAUUGGGACGAGGUGGCCGUAGAAAUGGCCAGGGCUGCCUUCUAGGACUCUGUGGCCAGGUCCUUCCCGGGGAAGGUGAUGUCUGUGCGUUUCGCACUUCUGCCUUCUCCAGACUCUUGCCCUCGGCGGAGGAGGGAGGGGGAGACGCAGCAGGGACAGGGCCAAAGAGCUCGUCCUCGCUGCUGCUCUCUCACAUCAGCGGGCUCUGCUUGCUGCCCUUCAAAGCUGCCUUCUGGCUCUGGUCUCAGCCCGUCCGUCCUGAAUCAGGCAAAUGCCCAGCCCGAGCCUCUCGCCACACGGCUGGUGGGCCCGCUCACGCCGCACACUUCAUUUCCUGCCUGUGCCCAGUCCUCUGUGAGUGCUCAGGAAACAGGGACUCACAGUUGGCUUGGCUCUGAUUCACCCUCCAGCAGGAGAGAGCAGCCUUCAAAUGCAGCAGAACAGUUCGAGGUCAGACAUCUGGAGGAACUUCCUUGACAGGCAAAACAUGGCACUGAGGAGUGUGUUCAAUAUCUAUCAAGAAUAAGUUUCUAUGUUCCGAGUAUCAUUUUAAGUGCCUUCCGGGUACCAUUUCAUCUUUGUGACAAUUGAAGGGUAUAGGUGGUGUUUUUCUCUCCGCUGUGUGGAUGAGGAAACUGAGGACCAGAGAGUGGCGACAGAUAGUCUGCCUCUGGCCACACAGCUAUGAAUAGCAGGGCCACAUAAGUCUGUAUUCUUUCUCUUCCCCCAUGAUUCUGCAUGCCCUAGACAGAGCGAAUGAGGCCCAGAGAAAGGGUGUCUUCAGAGCUUUCCCUGUGUCGGUGUUGCAGGCAGGAAAUACAACCCCGCUGAGAUUCCCAAUGUCCCAGAGCCUCAGUUUCCACCGCUGUAUCUCAUGAGAUUUAUCCAGUAUGUCUGAGGGACUGUCCAUCUCUGACGUUCUGGAACAGUGGCUGUCUAAUACCUCCUGGGAGCGAAUGAGAUUGGGAUUUUUAUGUUUGAAAGGGACAGACUGUAAGCUCUCAGAUGGGAGCAAGCACUAGGCCUGCUGGUGAAUUUCAUAGUGGUUGGCAAAAGGCUGGAGCCAGCACCAAGGGUCUCCUCUCGGUUUUCCUGCCAGCUCCCUGGGCUGCUAGCUCUGGGCCCUUGGCUGCCUGGCCAGUUCUUUCCCCCUAUAGAGACUUUGUCUCCACCAUCUGUCGCCUGAGUGGUGGCCUCUCAGAGGUUCCGUCCCCGCCAACUCUGAAAAGCUCCAUGAUUCUAAAUGCUUACAAAGAUCUGUUGAGUUGCAGUGAUGAAUUCUGCUGUCGCCAUCUGGACUCUCAGGUCGAUAGGUGGGCAGAUUCCUGGGCAGGAACCUUGCUAUGUGGUGCCCGUUGACGACAUGAGGUAGGGGUGGGAAGAAGUGGGCUAUUUGGU
rnacentral:lncRNA from 1 species